CAAGAUAACAGACUCACAGCCUUCACCUCAAACUAAUGGAGUUCAGUCGACACUGAAGGCAAUUCCUCAUCUGAUACACCAUUACUACAACGAAGCCAAGUGCCUUCCUACUUAUAAGUAAAACGCAUUUCAUAAUUUUCUCCAAAAUUUAAAAUGUGUGAUGCAGUCCAAAGAUUUAUUAAUAAUAAAAUUAUAUUUUAUGUUGUGUAAAACAAAAUAUCGGCUAACACUUUAUUUCUCCUUUCACAGCAGUCAGUAUCCGUGAAGUCCAAGAAAUAAUGAUUCCCAAACAAAAUGGAUCUUCGGCAUCAUGCACACAAAAGAGACGGACGCCAGCUUAAGGACCAGGAGGCAUUAAAAAAUUAAAGGACUUCAGAUAUUCUGUUAUUGUUGUUGUUAAAGUGACUUUAGUGUUUAUCUGGUUUGAUCUGGUAAAUUAGCAUUAGCAUCAGUCAUUUAACCUUCUGCAUGUUACAUUUCUUUUUGUAUGACUUUCAGGUCAUAUUGCACUGCAUGCUGUUCUUCAUACUAAUGUGUUAAUUUAUGUUUACAAAGUUUUAUAUCAGAAUAAAGUGACAUAUAUAAUCAAUGAAUCUGUUAAGCUAAACACAAAAAGGCAGUUACAUUAUUUUGUCCAUCAUGUAAAUAUUUUACUUGUUUUACUUUGUGAGUUUUUUCUCUAUUUGUUUUAUUUAAUGAUCUAAUUGUGAUCCUCAAAUAAUUUCUUUUGCUGUUUGUUCUUCAGUAUAUUUGUUACUUGUGUUUUGAAAAGUAUUUUUAUCUUAUGCUGACUUUUACAUUUUGUCUUUAGUUGUGAUUAAUAAAACUGG